GGUAGUCAGCAGGACCAGGGAGGUGAACAGCCCUUCUAUACUCAGAACUGGGGAGGCCUCAUAUCAAGUGCUGUGUUCAGUUUUUGGCCCCUCGCUACAAGAAGGACGCUGAGGUGCUGGAGCAUGUCCGGAGAGGGGCAGUAAUAUUGAUAAAGGGUCUGGAGCACAAGCCUUAUGAAGAACAGCCAGAAGAACUCACAUUGUUCAAUUCAGAGAAGAAGAGGCUCGGGGGAGACCUUAUCACUCUCUACAAAGACCUGAAAGGAUGUUGUGAUGAGAUGGGGAUCGGCCUCUUCUCCCAGCAAAGAAACUUGCCUGUCAGGGAUAACACAGGAGAACGUGAGCUGAAGGCUCCCUAUGGCAGAGAAGGGAAAAUUAAAUGAAGGUCUCCUUGAUCCUGAGGACAUCAGCUCAGUGAGCAUUGAUGGGAACACCAUGCUGUUUGUGAUUCUCCACCCCUAGUCAAAAAAGACUUGUUCUCAGCACAGCUUUUGAAAGAACCUGGCACCUUUGCAUUCUGGACAAUGGAUGGAGGUAACAAGACGAAGCAUAAGCACUAGCUUCUGUCAGGAGCAGAUUGCUGGAGCUGAUGCUGGCUGGUAAUUCAAGUUGCACUUCUGCUGUGCAACUGUAAGGUGAAGGAGACAUUGUGAAGAAACCGAAAAGAUGGAAGGUUUUCAAAAAUCCUCGUUUACCCUCCGAGGCAAUCUGACUGCUCUGCAGCCCAACCCGCAGGCAGCCCAGCCCCUGCUGUCAUCGCCGAACAGACGAGGAAGGGAGACAUCUAAAGGCAUCCCCGGGAAGUUCACUCUCCUCCUGCACGCGCCGACCUCGGAUUUCGACCACCGGUUUGAUAGAGGCAAGUAUCCCCGUUGUGCAAAAGUAGAUCCAGCGCAGAAACAAAUUAUUUCUGAGAAGCAUUGCGCGGAUUCCCUGCAGUCGUGUCAGAGAGGACAGUCGUGUCUCAGCUCCAGCAGCCACAUACUACAGUAUGCUGCUUGCUUCCUAGCUGCGUUUCUUGAAGAGUUUUUGAUCUGCACUUCCAUGCUUUCCCAUCGCACCCCAAGGUCACUGCUGAAAGGGAAGGUGCAGAUGGAAGCUGAGGUGUAGAGGCACCACCACUCCUACCUGACAGGGGACGUGCAGGAGCAUCAGUAACACACGCAAUAAGCAUUCCAACUUCCAGGAGGCUGCACAGCAUUCCCCACUAGGAGCAAGCAGGAAAGUGGAAAAAGUCUCCUCCACUCCAGAGCUGUCAGUGGAAAUGGCUGUCUUCCCAUCAGGAUAGUGCAGUACAAAGCAGAUGGUGCAUCUGGUCCCGGAUCUGGAGCUGAGGCACCCGCCUCCUUCCCCUCACCUUGUCUGAGAUCGAUGGUAGCUCUGAGGCCCAAAGUGCUCCUUUCUUUCUUUGCCAUCAUUGCCACCCAAAGUGCAGCAGGUCAGGGAGCUGCUGGAGAGGUGACGCAUCAAGGCUGUAAGUAAGGCUUUUUCUAAUUCUUGGCACAGGCGUUUUCAUGAGAAGAAGAAGAAAAAGGUACAUUUUCAAAUCAGUAUUAGGUGAACAGUUCAGAAAUAAAAGCCUUUCCCUUAGAGAUGCAAAUCAUCUGGACUGCUCUAACAUCUUCAGGGCUCUAAUGACCUUAAAGCACUGUCUUUAUGCCAUCCGUAAGACAACC
ensembl:lncRNA